AGUUUCAUGACGGUUGAUGUUGAUGCAUGUUUUGUUUUAUACUUUAAGAUUAAAAUAAAGUAAUUACAUUAUUGAAAGUCACAUUACAAUUUAAUUAACACCUUCAACAAAAACAAUAGCCUAAUAAAAAGUGCAAAUGAGUAAAUUGGCCUAUAAUAAGAGGAAUCAACUAUUCCUGGAAAUGACUUUAAAAUGGGAGACAAACCCAUUAGUGUCAGAAGUUGCAUGUGGAUGGCAUUCAAACUAUUCUGGCAGUAGCUAAUCAGUUACUGGUGGAUACGGCCAUUGGCUUCGAUCACGGUGGGCUCACAUAGUCUGGGAGAGGAUAAGCAGUCUGAUGGAUGACCGCAGUUUACUCACUUCCCAUGACUGUUUGGCGGCGGCCCCAGUGCGAACAAUUUGAACACAAGUACAGGCUUUCUUUCAAGGAGAGGAGAACAAAUGUAUCGUGCAAAACGUGUCGGAGACUAUGAAGGAGGAUCCAAUAUGAAAUCUUUCAUGUCAUAUUUUGAGACAUGGCUGAAGGAUAGCCCUGGAUGAUGUUUUCCCAGGAGCAGCAAUUAGUCGAUGUUGAUGGCACAAAUUGCUGUUUGAAGAGGAUGAGGCUGAUUAUGGCUGAUGACUGCAGGCAGGACUACGGUGAGCUCAGUUGGGAGUUGCUGCUUCUGCUCAGAAGGCAGAGCCUGGCAGCUUGGACAGCAGUCGAUGAGGAUUAUCAUCGAUUUUGUUGAAGAUCAGCGGAUUGGAAGUGAGACAACGGUUUUAUCAGUUUUAUUAUUUUAUUUGUUUGCCUAUUUGUACGUACAUGAUUCAAUAAUCUUUGUAAAGGUUUAACCCAAAGCUGCUUCCCUAUUGAAUUUGGAAAAUAUGAUAAUUUAGUCUAAAAUAAGGUUAUAUUCACUUUCAUUCAAUUAAGUCUUAGUAAUCUCAGUCCAAAUAUUUAUAUGAAUAUAUUUUCAGGAAAAAGGAUCAGAUAUAAUCCCUCCGUUUUUAUAUAUGUUUAAAACAAUAUUUUUUAACAAAAGUACUGCUAAAGAAAACUUUGACAUAGAUCGCAAACUGACUUACCUUUGUCGCUAUCAUCAGAUUAACUCUUGUGUGUAAUCUCUUCACCGUCUCUUCCUCCUCCGAAUCACUAUUCUUAUCUAAAUCAUUAGCUAGCACUAUUUUCACUACUGCGAGAGCCUUUUAUAGUUGAAUAAUAAAAAACUCUUUUUUGAAAUCAAAUCAAGUUGGUCUAUUAAUUAAGUGAAACG